UUACAUGCCCACAUAUAUCAA
rnacentral:siRNA from 1 species